rnacentral:rRNA from 1 species
GUGGGGAAUCUUGCGCAAUGGGCGAAAGCCUGACGCAGCCAUGCCGCGUGAAUGAUGAAGGUCUUAGGAUUGUAAAAUUCUUUCACCGGGGACGAUAAUGACGGUACCCGGAGAAGAAGCUCCGGCUAACUUCGUGCCAGCAGCCGCGGUAAUACGAAGGGGGCUAGCGUUGCUCGGAAUUACUGGGCGUAAAGGGCGCGUAGGCGGACAGCUUAGUCAGAGGUGAAAGCCCAGGGCUCAACCUUGGAAUUACCUUUGAUACUGGCUGUCUUGAGUUUGGGAGAGGUGAGUGGAACUCCGAGUGUAGAGGUGAAAUUCGUAGAUAUUCGGAAGAACACCAGUGGCGAAGGCGACUCACUGGCCCAAUACUGACGCUGAGGCGCGAAAGCGUGGGGAGCAAACAGGAUUAGAAACCCGUGUAGUCC